GAUGAACGCUGGCGGCGUGCCUAAUACAUGCAAGUCGAGCGAACGGACGAGAAGCUUGCUUUUCUGAUGUUAGCGGCGGACGGGUGAGUAACACGUGGAUAACCUACCUAUAAGACUGGGAUAACUUCGGGAAACCGGCGCUAAUACCGGAUAAUCUUUUGAACCGCAUGGUUCAAAAGUGAAAGACGGUCUUGCUGUCACUUAUAGCUGGAUCCGCGCUGCAUUAGCUAGUUGGUAAGGUAACGGCUUACCAAGGCAACGAUGCAUAGCCGACGUGAGAGGGUGAUCGGCGACACUGGAACUGAGACACGGUCCAGACUCCUACGGGAGGCAGCAGUAGGGAAUCGUCCGCAAAGGGCGAAAGCCUGACGGAGCAACGGCGCGUGAGUGAUGGAGGUCUUCGGAUCGUAAAACUGUGUUAUGAGGGAAGAACAGAUGUGUAAGUAACUGUGCACAGCUUGACGGUACCUAAUCAGAAAGCCACGGCUAACUACGUG
rnacentral:rRNA from 1 species